GUAAUUUUUCCUCUCUCGUCUACGUUGUGUUUUCUUGUUCGAUUGGCAACCCUAGUGAUUGUACUAAUCCGUGUUUUCUUGUUUGAUUGCAGACCUUUUACAGGUGUGCUGAGGGACAGGAGGAGGCCGCGGCUUGGGUUAUCGAAGCCGAGUGUAGGCAGCUACUUCAAAACUGGCGGAACGGGGCUCGGACGCAGGCUACUCGAGACUACUUCGCCUCGAUUGGUAUUAGGAUGUCCAAGUCGAAGUGCCGCACAAAGUAUCUGAGUAAGGAGAAGUACAUGAAGGUGCCCCCGAGAUGGUGUGCGGAUAGGCUGGAUUGUUGGGAGGCGUUGGUGGAUGAGUGGUGCUCUCCCCAAUGGCUAUCCACCCAAAACAAUGCAAAGGAUCGGCAUGGCAAAAUGAGUAGUGUGCCACACCAUCAAGGCAGCGUCAACCUAUAUCAGUACGGGGAUAACUGGGCGCGGCACAACAAGGCGGAUGUUCCAGAGUUGUUCGACCUCUAUGCCAUGGCCCAUAGUGCCCCGUAUAAGAAGGCCAAGGCAUUCUCUGAGUUUGAUCUCGAUGAUCCAAAGAACUUCACCAACCGCGCCUCCCACAACAAGCUCGUGAGGUACAGAGACGAGGGGAAGGCGAGGAAAGGGCCGGACUUUAACCCAAGCUAGCCUAUUGAUCCAGAGCUGGUGAUGAUAUCUGGUGGCGGGAGGAACCAUGGCUUGUUAGCCAUUGGGGAUGGACUGAUACGUUGUACUAGCACUCUCCCGCAGAUCAAGAGGCGCCAGACGAGCUCCGAUCCUAAGAUAAGGCCUCGUCCACGGCCAAUGGAUCUCUAAAUCAAGGCUGCUAUUGAGGAAGAGAGAGCAAAGACCCAGGAGCUUCUGGCGGAGGUAAGGAGGCAGGCGGCGGAGAGGAAGAUUGAGGAGAGGACGGCUAGGCUUUUGGAGGAGGAGAGGAACCAGAACGACUUGGCUAACCGGGCCAUAUACGAGCUCUUCGCGUCAAUGUGCGAGAAGAACGGUCAGACCCCUCCGCCGAUGCCAGUCAUUGCUCCGGCGGACACGCAUAACUCCCGACAAGCAUCGACGUCUGCCAUUGGCGCGAGCAAGAACCCCGAUCCUCCUCCGUCUGCCACUACCGCGAGCAAGAACCACAAUCCUUCACCUACGGGCUGAUGGUAAGUUUUGCCUAGUGCUUUGCUUAAUUAGCUCCAAAAUGACCUAUUUAACCUAGGAUAGCUCUAAAAUGACCUAUACUUAGCAUUUUUUUCCUCCAAAAUGACUUAAUAUGCUUAGCUAGCUCAAAAUUGACCUAUUUAACCUAGGAUAGCUCUAAAAUGACCUAUACUUAGCAUUUUUUCCUCCAAAUGACUUAAUAUGCUUAGCUAGCUCUAGAAUGACAUAAUAUGCUUACGAAAUGACAUAUUUUAGUUCCGAAAUGACUUCAUAUGCUUAGCUAGCUCCAAAAUGACAUAAUAAACUUAUUAGUUCCAAAAUGACCUUACUUAGCAUUUUUUACACCAAAAUGACUUAGUAUGCUUAGCUAGCUCAAAAAUGACAUAAUAACCAUACUUAGCUCCAAAAUGACCUAUUUUACAGAUAUAAGUUGCAUCAUAAUAAUCUUCACAUUUUAGUUGCAUCAUAAUAAUCUUCUUCUUCUAGUCUUCUUCUUCUAACUUUCUUCUUUCCCAUUUUGUAGAUUUGCUUCAGAUCACAGAAGCUUGGGUUGAUGGAGUGCUUGUCUUUAGUUUUUGUUUUGACUUUGUGAAACUUACUACCUAUGAUGAAACUGUGUAAUAUUGAUGAAACUAUAUAUAUGUAUGGAUGAAACUUGCUACUAUUGGUAACAUGUGUUGGAUAUAUUUGCGUUCAUGACUAUUGGUAAUAUGUGUUGAAUAUGCUAUAUUGUUCAUAUAUAUAUAUCUAUGUUUGAUUUUCUGUGAAAAUGAAUUGAUAUAA